rnacentral:rRNA from 1 species
AACGAACGCUGGCGGCAGGCUUAACACAUGCAAGUCGAGCGCCCCGCCAGGGGAGCGGCAGCCGGGUGAGUAACGCGUGGGAACGUACCUUUUGGUUCGGAACAACUCCGGGAAACUGGAGCUAAUACCGGAUAAGCCCUAACGGGGAAAGAUUUAUCGCCGAAAGAUCGGCCCGCGUCUGAUUAGCUAGUUGGUGAGGUAACGGCCCACCAAGGCGACGAUCAGUAGCUGGUCUGAGAGGAUGAUCAGCCACACUGGGACUGAGACACGGCCCAGACUCCUACGGGAGGCAGCAGUGGGGAAUAUUGGACAAUGGGCGCAAGCCUGAUCCAGCCAUGCCGCGUGAGUGAUGAAGGCCUUAGGGUUGUAAAGCUCUUUUGUCCGGGAAGAUAAUGACUGUACCGGAAGAAUAAGCCCCGGCUAACUUCGUG